rnacentral:tRNA from 1 species
GGUCGAUUAGUGUAGUUGGUUAUCACAUCGGAUUCUGAGACGGUACUUAAUUCCGGUAACCUGGGUUCGAAUCCCAGAUUGACCU